rnacentral:rRNA from 1 species
AUUGAACGCUGGCGGCAUGCUUUACACAUGCAAGUCGAACGGUAACAGGCCUUCGGGUGCUGGCGAGUGGCGGACGGGUGAGUAAUGCAUCGGAACGUACCCAGCGGUGGGGGAUAACGCAGCUAAAGCUGUGCUAAUACCGCAUGUGAUCUGAGGAUGAAAGCGGGGGCCGGGCAGGAAUGUUUUGCCUCGCGGCGUUUGAACUGGCGGCGUCGGAGGAGCUAGUUGGGGGGGUAAAGGCCUAACAAGGCGACGGUCCGUAGCUGGUGUGGGGGGACGACCGGCCACACGGGGACUGAGACACGGCCCAGACGCCUACGGGAGGCAGCAGUGGGGAAUGUUGGACAAUGGGCGCAAGCCUGAUCCAGCAAGGCCGCGUGCGGGAAGAAGGCCUUCGGGUUGGAAACCGCCUUUGGCAGGAACGAAACGGUGUCCGCUAAUACCGGGCGCUAAUGACGGUACCUGCAGAAUAAGCACCGGCUAACUACGUG